rnacentral:piRNA from 1 species
UCUGUUCAUUAUAUUGGCCUUAGCA